rnacentral:rRNA from 1 species
UACGGGGGGGGCAAGCGUUGUUCGGAAUUACUGGGCGUAAAGGGCGCGUAGGCGGUCAGACCAAGUCGAGUGUGAAAUCUCCGGGCUUAACCCGGAAAGGUCAGCCGAUACUGCGGGGCUAGAGUGCAGAAGGGGCAACUGGAAUUCUCGGUGUAGCGGUGAAAUGCGUAGAUAUCGAGAGGAACACCUGCGGCGAAGGCGGGUUGCUGGGCUGACACUGACGCUGAGGCACGAAAGCGUGGGGAGCAAACAGG